rnacentral:rRNA from 1 species
AGAGUUUGAUCAUGGCUCAGAUUGAACGCUGGCGGCAGGCCUAACACAUGCAAGUCGAGCGGUAGCACAGAGAGCUUGCUCUCGGGUGACGAGCGGCGGACGGGUGAGUAAUGUCUGGGAAACUGCCUGAUGGAGGGGGAUAACUACUGGAAACGGUAGCUAAUACCGCAUAAUGUCGCAAGACCAAAGUGGGGGACCUUCGGGCCUCAUGCCAUCAGAUGUGCCCAGAUGGGAUUAGCUAGUAGGUGGGGUAACGGCUCACCUAGGCGACGAUCCCUAGCUGGUCUGAGAGGAUGACCAGCCACACUGGAACUGAGACACGGUCCAGACUCCUACGGGAGGCAGCAGUGGGGAAUAUUGCACAAUGGGCGCAAGCCUGAUGCAGCCAUGCCGCGUGUGUGAAGAAGGCCUUCGGGUUGUAAAGCACUUUCAGCGGGGAGGAAGGCGNNNNNNNNNNNNNNNNNNNNNNNNNNNNNNNNNNNNNCGAUUGACGUUACCCGCAGAAGAAGCACCGGCUAACUCCGUGCCAGCAGCCGCGGUAAUACGGAGGGUGCAAGCGUUAAUCGGAAUUACUGGGCGUAAAGCGCACGCAGGCGGUCUGUCAAGUCGGAUGUGAAAUCCCCGGGCUCAACCUGGGAACUGCAUUCGAAACUGGCAGGCUAGAGUCUUGUAGAGGGGGGUAGAAUUCCAGGUGUAGCGGUGAAAUGCGUAGAGAUCUGGAGGAAUACCGGUGGCGAAGGCGGCCCCCUGGACAAAGACUGACGCUCAGGUGCGAAAGCGUGGGGAGCAAACAGGAUUAGAUACCCUGGUAGUCCACGCCGUAAACGAUGUCGAUUUGGAGGUUGUGCCCUUGAGGCGUGGCUUCCGGAGCUAACGCGUUAAAUCGACCGCCUGGGGAGUACGGCCGCAAGGUUAAAACUCAAAUGAAUUGACGGGGGCCCGCACAAGCGGUGGAGCAUGUGGUUUAAUUCGAUGCAACGCGAAGAACCUUACCUGGUCUUGACAUCCACAGAACUUUCCAGAGAUGGAUUGGUGCCUUCGGGAACUGUGAGACAGGUGCUGCAUGGCUGUCGUCAGCUCGUGUUGUGAAAUGUUGGGUUAAGUCCCGCAACGAGCGCAACCCUUAUCCUUUGUUGCCAGCGGUCCGGCCGGGAACUCAAAGGAGACUGCCAGUGAUAAACUGGAGGAAGGUGGGGAUGACGUCAAGUCAUCAUGGCCCUUACGACCAGGGCUACACACGUGCUACAAUGGCAUAUACAAAGAGAAGCGACCUCGCGAGAGCAAGCGGACCUCAUAAAGUAUGUCGUAGUCCGGAUUGGAGUCUGCAACUCGACUCCAUGAAGUCGGAAUCGCUAGUAAUCGUAGAUCAGAAUGCUACGGUGAAUACGUUCCCGGGCCUUGUACACACCGCCCGUCACACCAUGGGAGUGGGUUGCAAAAGAAGUAGGUAGCUUAACCUUCGGGAGGGCGCUUACCACUUUGUGAUUCAUGACUGGGGUGAAGUCGUAACAAGGUAACCGUAGGGGAACCUGCGGUUGGAUCACCU